AGUGGAAUUGCUGAGUCAUAUGGUAAGUGUACUUUUGAAGAAGCUGCCAGGCUGUUUUCCAGAGUGUUUGUAACAUUUCUUUUCCCACCAGCAGU
rnacentral:pre_miRNA from 1 species